UACGGGGGGGGCAAGCGUUGUUCGGAAUUACUGGGCGUAAAGGGCUCGUAGGUGGCCAACUAAGUCAUACGUGAAAUCCCUCGGCUUAACCGGGGAACUGCGUCUGAUACUGGAUGGCUCGAGUUUGGGAGAGGGAUGCGGAAUUCCAGGUGUAGCGGUGAAAUGCGUAGAUAUCUGGAGGAACACCGGUGGCGAAGGCGGCAUCCUGGACCAACACUGACGCUGAUGAGCGAAAGCCAGGGGAGCAAACGGG
rnacentral:rRNA from 1 species